rnacentral:rRNA from 3 species
UACGAAGGGGGCUAGCGUUGUUCGGAAUCACUGGGCGUAAAGCGCACGUAGGCGGAUGUGCCAGUCAGGGGUGAAAUCCCGGAGCUCAACUCCGGAACUGCCUCUGAUACAGCACGUCUUGAGUUCGAGAGAGGUGGGUGGAAUUCCUAGUGUAGAGGUGAAAUUCGUAGAUAUUAGGAAGAACACCGGUGGCGAAGGCGGCCCACUGGCUCGAUACUGACGCUGAGGUGCGAAAGCGUGGGGAGCAAACAGG